AACGAACGCUGGCGGCAUGCCUAACACAUGCAAGUCGAACGAGACCUUCGGGUCUAGUGGCGCACGGGUGCGUAACGCGUGGGAACCUGCCCUUAGGUUCGGAAUAACUCCCCGAAAGGGGUGCUAAUACCGGAUAAUGUCUUCGGACCAAAGAUUUAUCGCCUUUGGAUGGGCCCGCGUUGGAUUAGCUAGUUGGUAGGGUAAAAGCCUACCAAGGCGACGAUCCAUAGCUGGUCUGAGAGGAUGAUCAGCCACACUGGGACUGAGACACGGCCCAGACUCCUACGGGAGGCAGAAGUGGGGAAUAUUGGACAAUGGGCGAAAGCCUGAUCCAGCAAUGCCGCGUGAGUGAUGAAGGCCUUAGGGUUGUAAAGCUCUUUUACCCGGGAUGAUAAUGACAGUACCGGGAGAAUAAGCGCCGGCUAACUCCGUG
rnacentral:rRNA from 1 species